CCUGGAGCCAGCAGCUUGUGUGUGUGGAAUACGCAUGCAACACCCUUCCCUGCUCUACCACGGGCCUAUCGCCCUUUGAAUGUUCCCUGGGGUAUCAGCCCCUGCUCUUCACCGAGCAGGAGGUAGAGGUCGGCGUACCUUCUGCCCAGAUGUUUGUCCACCGCUGUUGUCGUACCUGGAGGAGAACCAGGUCGGCCCUCCUCAAGACCACCUCCAGGUAUCAACGACAAGCAGAUCGCCAUCAGACCCCGYCAUCGUCUCGGGCAGAAGGUAUGGCUAUCCACCCGGGAUCUGCCCCUCCGGGUGGAAUCCUGCAAUCUCUCCCCCUGUUUUUUUGGCUCGUUUCCCAUCUCUAAAAUGAUUAGUCCCUCCUGCUGUUCAUCUUCUGUUUCCCGUACCCUUUGUAUACACCCCACCUUUCAUGUGUCCCGAGUUAAAUCCAUGUCUCACAGCCCUUUGUCUACUGUUUCCAGGCCCACCCCUCUCAUCGACGGCCAUCCGGCUUACAUGGUGAGACGUCUCCGGAGUGUUCGACCGCGGGGCAGGGGAUUCCAGUACCUGGUUGACUAGGAGGGUUAUGGCCCGGAGGAGAGGUGCUGGGUCCCCGCUAGAGGCAUCCUGGACCCAGUCCUCAUCGCUGACUUCCACCGCCGUCACCCCGUUCAACCAGGUGUGCGCCCAGGUCAAGUCUACCUCAAAGAUGUGUCAUGUUACUUCUCUGUGAUGGAGGAAAAGACGCCAGAAACUGGAACGAAGUGGAUCAUCGCCCAGAUGAUGCAUGCGGCAGACUACCUGGGUUGGGACGUGACAGAUCGCAGACCGGUAAAACAUCCACUUGCAUACCUGUCAAUUAUCCUUAUGGGAAUACUCACUGGGUAUUAAAUCAAAACAUUUCACCUGACGGGUAUACUACAAAGCAUUUUAGCCGACACUUAUCCAGAGCGACUUACAGGAGCAAUUAGGGUUAAGUGCCUUGCUCAAGAGUAUAUCAACAUUUUUUACCUAGUCUGCUCAGGGAUUUCAACCUGCAAAAGUUCAGUUACUGGCCCAACGCUCUUAACCACUAGGCUACCUGCCUAUCUCUGCUUUCAUUAUGGAUACAGCUAAUGUUUACAUAAAGCAGUAUACACUUAUGUAGAAUAUACUUGUAGCGGUAUUUAUUAGAGAGGGGUAAAGAUAAAGAUUUUGUUCGGGCGCCAGGCAGGUAUUAACCAUGCC